CGGGGUGGGGGGAGGGUGGGGGUUGGGGGUUUGAGGGGGUGAGUGGUGCAGAAAAACGAAAAAAUAAAAAAUAAAAAAUUAAAAAUACAAUUUUUUGGGGGGUUGGGUGGGGGGGUUAGGGAGUGGAUGGUGCAGAUAAACGAAAAAACAGAAAACAGAAAAUUGAAAAUACAUUUGUUUUUGCGGGGGUUGGGUGGGUGGUAUAGAAAAAAAUUUUCUGACUAUUUUGUGCAACCAAGCAGUGAAAAAUGAGAAAAUAUUUUCAGAAAAACGUUUUCCGUCAUAUCAAACACACCCUAAAAUUUAAAUAUCUUGAUUUUCAUUUUUAAACUUAGAUACAAAAACUAAUGACAUGGCAACUAAGUAAAUUUCUAGAUAAGUUGGGUUAAAAUUUUUUUAUUUUGGGUGAGAUUCAUGGGUUGUAUUUGGGCUACUUAAUGGGUCAUAAUGGGUUAUAUAAAAUAAUAGAUUAACUUGGGCUCAGCCCAAAUAGACCCAUUAGCUAAAAUAUUAUAGCCCAACCCAUUAAUCUCUGGACGGGUUGGGCGGGUUGAUGGGUUUGGGCUCAAAUUGCCACCCGUGCUUUCAAUACACGAGACUAAGGGGUCAAACCAAAUAUCAGCAAUGAAAUGGGAUUCAACAUCAUAAACGAAGUCAAGAGAGGCAAAGCUGGUCUCAAACAUGGCCUCAAACAAUGGUUGGCCUGCUCAAAGUACACAAAAAGGUCCAAACGACAUCAAAACAAAGCUGUCAGCCAUAGCAGAAUGGUGAAAACAAACACAAAAAUGGAACCAACAGAAUCCGCAUCAUCAUCCGUCGUAGAAGGAGAAACUCGUCGGAAAAAUCAGAACCCAUGUUAUCUCAAAUAUAAACAGUGAUAAUGACUAUCGCAAAAAUUAAUAACCAGUCGAACAAUGGGUUGCCGGAAAUACACAGGGCGCCAAUGGAUGGGCCAACAGUCACAAAACUCCAUAAAACAACACACAAAAGGCUAGCAAAAACAUAAGAGUUCGCCAGAAAAGCCAUAAACUCCAGAUCCGUAAAGAACAACAACAAAAAAUCAUAAAGGGAUGAGUAAAAGAGGCCACCGGCGUUCAAUACUUCACUACCAGAUCUAAAAGUUUUGCGGCCAAACUCUGGCAAGAAGUGUCGAUUUCUCCAACCAGUGGAGUCUUCCAAAGAGAGGAAAGAGGAGAAGAUGGGAAUCACUACCUGCCGGUGGUCAACUCUGGCGGCAGCGACCUGAGCGGCAACCAUGUCUCUUCACAAUGAAGAGAGAGUUUGGAGAUGAAGAGGGAGCAGACAUGGUCUCUCAAAAAUUAGAGAUUGAGAAAGCCCCAAAAAUGGGGUGUGCGGCUAUGAGUUCUCUCAAUGGAGAGUGAGAGAUUAUUUAGGGUUUGGGUUAUAAAAAUAUGAUGUUAUAAAGUGUGAUAGUGUGUAGGUGUGGGUAUAUGUAUAUAGUGGGUGUGUAAAUAAAAGAUGUGAUUCUUAUUUUAGUAGAACGUAUAUGUAAAAUGGAAGAAAAAUAUGUGGUCAAAAUUAAAGGAGGUCAUGUCACAUCAAGUCACAUCAAUUGACUAGUCACAUCACGAUGUCUUAUCGCGUCAAUGUCAUGUCGCAUCAACGUCUUGUCACACCAGAUGUUGACGGAAUGUUCAAUUUAACCGGACUUGAUCCGUAUUUUAAAAUUAUUUCUACUGGCUUCAAUUUAACUAAACAGACCGUGCUACAAAAUAAAUAUGAUUUUUUAAUUAGAAAAUCUCAUAGUAUUUAUUUAAAAUGUAACUGCUACAAUGAUGCUGUAGUAAUUAUUAUUUUAUUUUUGAAAAGAUGAUAAUUUGAUAGAAUUUCCUAAUGUUUGAAAAAUAGGCAUUAUCAAUAAAUCGCUUAAAAGUUUAUAAAAAAGCACAAAAACUGCAGUAUUUAACUAAUUGCAACAAAAUGAUAGAAAUUUCCAUAUUUUGUGAAAUAUGAAUAAUUAUCAAUAAAUUGCAUUAAAGUUAAAUAAUGUGCAAAAAUUAUAUUUUUGAAUAAUUGCAAUAAAAUGAUAGAAAUUCCCACAUUUUAUAAAAAUAGGAAUAAUUAUCAAUAAAUUGCAUUAAUGCUAAAUAAUGUGUAAAAACUACAUUUUUAUUAUUUUUGACUAGGAAGCCUGCAGAAGUUAAUUUUUAAAUAUGGAGGGUCAAAAUUGAGUGUCAACAGCUGCCCCUCUUUGACCGGAGAUUAUGUAAGAAUCUUCGGACAAAGAAAUUGACACCACACUCAAUUUUGACCCGACAUGAAAGAGUGGGAAUGCGGAUGUUUUGAAGAUUAUGACUGAACUCUGGUAUUUGAGUUGCCUACAUAUCUCGGGUUGCACAAGAAUCUGAUCGCGUGUAGUUCUAAAAUGCAACUGAGUACUACUUAUGGAUCGUAGUCUCAUGGGGUGGAAGACGAAUGUUCGAGGACGAAAAGGUUCAUGUGAUCUCGACAUUGCUCCCAAGAUUGCCCCAGUAUCGGACUGUAAUAACACUGGGCCGUGGAUGUUAGAUGGACAUAUAGAUUGAUUGGAUGAAUUUUGAUGUAGGUACGGCCGU
rnacentral:lncRNA from 1 species